CGAACGAUGAAACCUAGCUUGCUAGGUGGAUUAGUGGCGCACGGGUGAGUAAUAUAUAGAUAACGUGCCUCUUAGUCUGGGAUAGCCAUUGGAAACGAUGAUUAAUACCGGAUACUCCUUCUCUUUCUAAUAAGAGUUGGGAAAGYUUUUCGCUAAGAGAUCGGUCUAUAUCCCAUCAGCUUGUUGGUAGURUAAGAGACUACCAAGGCUAUGACGGGUAGCGGGUUUGAGAGGAUGAUCCGCCACACUGGUACUGAGACACGGACCAGRCUCCUACGGGAGGCAGCAGUGAGGAAUAUUGCACAAUGGAGGAAACUCUGAUGCAGCAACGCCGCGUGGAGGAUGACGCAUUUCGGUGUGUAAACUCCUUUUAUAGGUCAAGAAAAUGACGGUAGCCUAUGAAUAAGCACCGGCUAACUCCGUGCCAGCAGCCGCGGUAAUACGGAGGGUGCAAGCGUUAUUCGGAAUCACUGGGCGUAAAGGACACGUAGGCGGGAAGCCAAGUCUGAUGUGAAAUCCUACAGCUUAACUGUAGAACUGCAUUGGAAACUGGU
rnacentral:rRNA from 1 species